rnacentral:lncRNA from 1 species
AUGUCAUCUCAUUACACGCCUGGGACGUAUGACAGACAUGCUGCUCUCCGCAUUGUGCUCCCGCCGGCAGAUGCCCUGAAUGUCCCGCGCCCAAGUGGCGGUCUAGGAGAGCAAGCGGGGGCUUUAAUUACCUCCUGGGACUUUUCAAAAAUGCCUCAUCCCAAGGAACGCCCCAAGGGUCUAGAACUGCCCAUCCCAGGUCAACUGGGAAGAAGGAAAGACAAGAAAAGAACGUACAACCUGCAAAUAAUAGAGUAAGUGGAAAUAUGAAAUAAAUACUGAUGCGCCUGCCCCA